rnacentral:misc_RNA from 1 species
AGAUUGAUCCUGAUGGGUUUGCACAAGUGAUAGAAAAGAUGCCACAGAUUGCUAGCCUUAACCAACAUGUGAUUAUGAAACCAGUACAGUUUCUUUUGGGGCGAGGAAUCCCAUCUGAUGAUGUAGCAAAGAUGGUUGUAAAAUGUCCGCAGUUAGUUGCAUUGCGAGUACCACUUGUGCAAACCCAUCAGGAUCAAUCU